AAUAAUGUACCACCUGGUCGAUUUUCAAAAUCAGGUGUCACCAGAGCCACGACAUGGGGCCUACAAUCAGGAAACUUGUGCCCCUGUUGCAGAGCAUGAUAUGCCGCAGCCUGCACAGGAGACAAGCCCCUUUUGUCAUGCACACCAUGAUAGUUGCCUGGAUGACAUUGCCGGGGUGUCACCAGAGCCACGAGAUGGGGCCUGCAAUCAGGAGAUUUGUUGCCCGGUUGCACAGCAUGAUA